rnacentral:rRNA from 1 species
AAUCCAUAGGUUAAUGAGGCGAACCGGGGGAACUGAAACAUCUAAGUACCCCGAGGAAAAGAAAUCAACCGAGAUUCCCCCAGUAGCGGCGAGCGAACGGGGAGGAGCCCAGAGCCUGAAUCAGCAUGUGUGUUAGUGGAAGCGUCUGGAAAGGCGCGCGAUACAGGGUGACAGCCCCGUACACAAAAGCGCAUGUGCUGUGAGCUCGAUGAGUAGGGCGGGACACGUGGUAUCCUGUCUGAAUAUGGGGGGACCAUCCUCCAAGGCUAAAUACUCCUGACUGACCGAUAGUGAACCAGUACCGUGAGGGAAAGGCGAAAAGAACCCCGGCGAGGGGAGUGAAAAAGAACCUGAAACCGUGUACGUACAAGCAGUGGGAGCACCCUUUGGGUGUGACUGCGUACCUUUUGUAUAAUGGGUCAGCGACUUAUAUUCUGUAGCAAGGUUAACCGAAUAGGGGAGCCGGAGGGAAACCGAGUCUUAACCGGGCGUUAAGUUGCAGGGUAUAGACCCGAAACCCGGUGAUCUAGCCAUGGGCAGGUUGAAGGUUGGGUAACACUAACUGGAGGACCGAACCGACUAAUGUUGAAAAAUUAGCGGAUGACCUGUGGCUGGGGGUGAAAGGCCAAUCAAACCGGGAGAUAGCUGGUUCUCCCCGAAAGCUAUUUAGGUAGCGCCUCGUGAAUUCAUCUCCGGGGGUAGAGCACUGUUUCGGCUAGGGGGCCAUCCCGGCUUACCAACCCGAUGCAAACUGCGAAUACCGGAGAAUGUUAUCACGGGAGACACACGGCGGGUGCUAACGUCCGUCGUGAAGAGGGAAACAACCCAGACCGCCAGCUAAGGUCCCAAAGUCAUGGUUAAGUGGGAAACGAUGUGGGAAGGCCCAGACAGCCAGGAUGUUGGCUUAGAAGCAGCCAUCAUUUAAAGAAAGCGUAAUAGCUCACUGGUCGAGUCGGCCUGCGCGGAAGAUGUAACGGGGCUAAACCAUGCACCGAAGCUGCGGCAGCGACACUGUGUGUUGUUGGGUAGGGGAGCGUUCUGUAAGCCUGUGAAGGUGUGUCGUGAGGCAUGCUGGAGGUAUCAGAAGUGCGAAUGCUGACAUAAGUAACGAUAAAGCGGGUGAAAAGCCCGCUCGCCGGAAGACCAAGGGUUCCUGUCCAACGUUAAUCGGGGCAGGGUGAGUCGACCCCUAAGGCGAGGCCGAAAGGCGUAGUCGAUGGGAAACGGGUUAAUAUUCCCGUACUUGGUGUUACUGCGAAGGGGGGACGGAGAAGGCUAUGUUGGCCGGGCGACGGUUGUCCCGGUUUAAGCGUGUAGGUGUGUGUUCCAGGUAAAUCCGGUUCACUUUAACACUGAGGCGUGACGACGAGGCACUACGGUGCUGAAGCAACAAAUGCCCUGCUUCCAGGAAAAGCCUCUAAGCAUCAGGUAACAUCAAAUCGUACCCCAAACCGACACAGGUGGUCAGGUAGAGAAUACCAAGGCGCUUGAGAGAACUCGGGUGAAGGAACUAGGCAAAAUGGUGCCGUAACUUCGGGAGAAGGCACGCUGACACGUAGGUGA